UUAAGGCAGCUCUUUUUGUCAUGGUGGGCCCAGCUGUGGCCUCCCUGGUGCCCCCUGCCCGCCCCUCCUUUCCAGCCUAGCUUGGCGGGUUCCGGCAUGGCGACUGCUUCUUCUUUACAGACUUCCCUCCCUCUUAGGCCACGAGAGAGCCUCUUCCACCCUCCAGCCUAGAGCUGGGCACUUUCCUGGGCCUGGGGGUUUGGGUCCAGACUUUCCAAAGCCAACACACCCCAGCUAGGAGUUCUUGGAGGCCUGGUUUCCACACUGGCAGAACUCAUGAGUUGAGAGUCAGGCAGACUGGAGUCGGCUCAGUUCCUUUUCCCAGUUUCCUUUUUGGCUUUGCUGAGUCCUGAGUGGCCUCCAUUUUACAGAGGAGGGAACAGGAGACUCAGAGAGGACCUGUGACCUGGCCCAGCAGGGACUUGAACUUGGGCCAUAACUCCUCUCCCCAAAAUGGAUGUGAAAGAGCUUUAUAGGGCAUAAAGUGAGGUUGCUACACCAUGACUUAGGGCCUGACCAUUCACUUGUGAGCUACAGCUCACUGUCACUCUCCUCUGUAGACCGACUCUCCAGUUCUCUCUCCCCGCCUUCCUCCUCCUCCUCCACCACCACCACCUCCACCACCUCCUCUUCCUCUUCCUCCCCCUUUCUCUCUCUCUCCCCCUCUCUCUCUUCUUCUGUCUGUCUCUGUCUUCCUCCUUUUUUUUCUGUCCCUCCCUCUCUUUCUUUUCUCUCUCUCUUUCCUCUGUCUUCCUCCUGCUCCUUCUCUCUGUCUCUCUCUGUCUGUCUCUUUGUCUGUCUGUCUCUGUCUCUGUCUCUCCCUGUCUCCCUCUCUCUCUUUCUUUCUCUCUCCCCCUCUAUCCCUAUUGAUCUCUUCUUCUGUCUCUCUGUCUCUCUCUCUGUCUCUCUCUCUUUCUCCCCUCUCCCUCUCUCUUCUUCUGUCUCUCUGUCUUCCUCCUUUUUUCUGUCCCUCCCUCUAUUUUUCUCUCUAUCCUCUCUUUGUCUUCCUUCUGCUCCUUCUCUCUCUCUGUCUCUCUGUCUCUCUCUCUCUCUGCCUCUUUGUCUCUCUGUCUCUCUGUCUUCCUCCCUCUCUCCCUGUCUCCCUCUCUCUCUGUCUUUGUCUCUCUCUCUUUCUCUCUUUGUCUCUCUGUCUUCCUUCCUCUCUCCCUCUCUCUGUCUCUGUCUCUCUCUCUCUCUCUGUCUCUCUCUCUCUCUCUCUCUCUCUCUCUCUCUCUCUCUCUCUCUCUCUCUCUCUCUGUCUCUUUGCCUCUGUCUUUCUCCCUUUCUGUGUCUCCUUGUCUCUGAUUUUCUUGCAUUUCAAACCCUAAUUCUAACUCCCUCUUUCCCUGAUAGGUCUCCUGGACCUCUCCUUGCUUCCUCCUUGCUGUGUCUAUGGUCCUGUUGUCUGAUGCUCGGUCUUUCCAUUCCAGCAAACCAGAGUUCCCAGAGGCCACCCAGGGUAUGUUUCACUUGGACAUUGGAGGCCUCCCUUCCCACUGCUCUAGACCAUCUACUUCCUGCCCUUGGGCCUAUCCAACUCCCCAGAUCCCAGGGUGUAACUGGUGGGCCACGUCCUGCUGUCCAUGCCUCUUCUAUAGCCCUCAUCAGCUCCCCAAGUCCCCAGCUCAGUCCCAGGCUGGUGGCAGCCAUUGCUGAGAAAGAAGCCCCCUGCCAGUCCUGGGCCCUUGGUGCUGACAGUGUCUGUCCUUCAGGACUAAGCCGAGCCAGGGUCCAGAGCAGGGGCCACCUCCCAGCCAGGCGAGAGUUAAGUCCUUUGUCGCAGAGAAGGGCAAAGCUCACUGCUGCCAGUUAUUUUUUGUUGGUUCUUCUUUUUUUGAAGAAGAGAGAGAGAAAAGAGAGAGACUGUGAGGGCAACCCUUCUGCUUACCUCUUAAAACAACUCUCCCUGGUUAUCGGUCUCACUGGACGCUUUGUGAGAAUAAAAACUUAG
rnacentral:lncRNA from 1 species